AUGCAGCUGACGAGUCUCAAAUAGGACGAAAUGUGCAUCUUGGAU
rnacentral:hammerhead_ribozyme from 1 species